AUUGAACGCUGGCGGAAUGCUUUACACAUGCAAGUCGAGCGGCAGCGCGGGGCAACCUGGCGGCGAGCGGCGAACGGGUGAGUAAUGCAUCGGAACAUGUCCAUGUCGUGGGGGAUAGCCCGCCGAAAGGCGGAUUAAUACCGCAUAAGCCCGGGAGGGGAAAGCAGGGGACCGCAAGGCCUUGCGCGAUUGGGUUGGCCGAUGUCCGAUUAGCUUGUUGGUGAGGUAAAGGCUUACCAAGGGGAUGAUCGGUAGCGGGUCUGAGAGGAUGAGCAGCGACACUGGGACUGGGACACGGCCCGGACUCCUACGGGAGGCAGCAGUGGGGAAUUUUGGACAAUGGGGGCAACCCUGAUCCAGCCAUUCCGCGUGAGUGAAGAAGGCCUUCGGGUUGUAAAGCUCUUUUGUCCGGAGCGAAACGGGCGCGGCUAAUACCUGCGUCUACUGACGGUACCGGAAGAAUAAGCACCGGCUAACUACGUGCCAGCCGCCGCCGUAACAC
rnacentral:rRNA from 1 species